rnacentral:miRNA from 3 species
UGCCAAAGGAGACUUGCCCAG